CAGCCGCCGCGGUAAUACGGAGGGCGCGAGCGUUGUCCGGAUUCACUGGGCGUAAAGCGUGCGCAGGCGGUUCGGAAAGAAAGAUGUGAAAUCCCAGAGCUUAACUUUGGAACUGCAUUUUUAACUACCGGGCUAGAGUGUGUCAGAGGGAGGUGGAAUUCCGCGUGUAGCAGUGAAAUGCGUAGUUAUGCGGAGGAACACCGAUGGCGAAGGCAGCCUCCUGGGAUAACACUGACGCUCAUGCACGAAAGCGUGGGGAGCAAACAGGAUUAGAUACCCUGGUAGUCCACGCCCUAAACGAUGUCAACUAGCUGUUGGGGCCUUCGGGCCUUGGUAGCGCAGCUAACGCGUGAAGUUGACCGCCUGGGGAGUACGGUCGCAAGAUUAAAACUUAAAGGAAUUGGCGGG
rnacentral:rRNA from 1 species